CUAAAACUGGGGUGCCAUGUCCCGUUGUUCAGCGGUUGCCGGAGAGAUCGUGUGAAGUGAACACAGUCCGAUUCAAUAAGAAUGACGAGUCUCAGCAGCAGCAGCAGCAGCAGCAAGGCGUUGUAAAGAUGAAAAGAACUUACGGAAGAAAAAGGUUCCAGGACCUUCAGAGCGUUUCCGUAGCAACAACGGAUUAC